GGCUCAGUGGUCUAGUGGUAUGAUUCCUGCUUCGGGCGGUUCUUCGGAACACAAAUAAACCCUUCCAUCAUACAUGGGAAUGCAGGAGGCCCCGGGUUCGAAUCCCGGCUGAGCCC